AAUUUCUAUAUCCGGUUAUUACAGGCACGUGCUCCUUCCCUAAAGAUGAUGAAACCAAAGACGAUCUCUCUUCAAAAACAUAAAAAUGAUCAAUUCAACAGAUGGCGUGACUGAUAGCAGUAAUUCUGUUGUUAGCUGUUAGAAUCAAGAGCGCAGGCUGUGUUUGUAUACUUUUAUGCUUGGGAAAAGAAAAUAGUUUGGACAUUCAAUGCUAAUCAAACGCUUUUCUGUGACUUUGCUCACUGCUUCAUUCAAGAUAUAGAUGUCAUGUCAAAAACUGAAAAGAAUCGAUUAAAACGCUUGACGAAACGAUUGGAAAGGAUCAGUCGCAAAUGCAAAACAAAGCCAAAAGCGCCUGUAAAACCUGAAAAGUACUGUUCGUGUGGACCGAAAGUUCGACUUGAAGAUUUAGUUAGUCUUGAUUGUGAAAUGGUAGGAGUCGGGCAAGAUCGUUCUUGCGCAAUAGCCAGAUGCAGUUUAGUAGAUUAUCAAUGCAGAACACUUUGUGAUAUCUACGUAAAACCUGAUAAACCGAUAACGGACUAUCGGACGUUUGUCAGUGGUAUUCGACCAUGUCAUAUGAAAAAUGCAAUUAGCUUAGAAGAAGCAGUUUCAAUUAUUUCAGAACUGGUCAAGGACAAAAUAGUGGUUGGUCAUUCACUUUAUAAUGAUUUAAGAUUAUUAAACGGUCUGCAAAAGUUAGAUACGAGAGAUACAAUUAAAUGUGAAAGAUUAAAACUAAAGGCUUUAGCUGUUAACUGUGAAAAGAAAGGCUUAGCAAGUCUGUCUUAUUGUUUAUUGAAAAAGAAAAUUCAAGUGGGAGAACAUUGUUCCGUUGAAGACGCAGUAGCGACGAUGCAACUGUUCAAGUAUGCUCAUUUUGAUAUUAGACCUGAAGGAAACGAUUGUUUAUCGAGUUUGUUGACAGAUAAUUAUUGGCCUAGUAAUAUUUUUGAAUGUUGCGAUAGAUAAGGGGCUGAUUUGUUUUUAUAAGUGUUGUUGUAUUCGGUUAUAAAAUACUCUUUAUAAAAAAAACACUAUCAAAUGUUAGGCAAUUCUGAAUAUGAAAAUUACUUAAAUAUUUUUUAUCACUACUGUCUCAAUUACUGAAAAGAUAAGAUUUUUUUUAAAUAAUUUCAAUACAUUCAAAAAAUUAGGUUGAGUUGAUAGAUUUGCUAGCAAAAGUAUUUUGUUCUUAUUACAAAUGGAAUCCUAUCUUUCGUUUGACAGCUUCUUUUUAAGAUGAGAAUGAUUUUUUUAAGGUUUGUUGAGUCAAGAUGUUUUUGGCAAAUGGAAAGAUUCUAUUUUUAAUUCUGUAUAACCUCAAAAACAGAAGAUAAAAAGUUUCUGAAUGUGUUUCAACGCCAUCUAUAGUACAGGCAACAAAUGCUCUGUUGACCCCGCGAAUGACAAAGCUAGAGGAGAUUCUGUAAUCAAAAGCAAACAAGACAAAGUCGAUCGACAAACCAAGUAAUUAUACAAAAUAAACAAACCACCGCGAAAUCGAUUAAACACUCCCCUGUUCGGUUUUUAGCAAGACAAACAACGGCAUGUGGCUUGAUACAACGCAGACCACUUGUCAGAGUUUGCAAGAAAUAAAAACCGAGCAACAUUCACCUAAGUCGAAAAUAAAAAUCCGCUUUUCUCUUAUCUCGAUGAUAAAAACGAUAAAAUUUGACCGAGAAAUCACGUGGUUAAAUUAUUAUAAUUAGGCAACAAAAACUUAUAGGAUAAUAGUAGUUAAUUGUACGAAUUGCAUGCAGACAAGCAGGCGUCACAAAGUCAUUAAAUGAGCACCAAGAAGAUACAACUCAUCAAUUGUUUAUGAUUUAGGAGGUAGAGGAGGCGCCCUAGCUUCUUCCACUCUCCUUAAGAGAACUUCUAACCAACAAGGGCACUGUGUGACAUCUAGUCUCUUGUAACCUGGUCCCCAACCUUUGGCGAACGAAAUCCUUAAGGCCCGAUGAUCCACAGGACCUGGGAUAGCUCUGGAACAAGGGCAUUGCUUUCGGGAUGUAAGAUCCGCGAGCGUUGAAAAGGCAUUUACGCAAUGUUUCGGUGCUAAUCUUCUCACAGAAAAUGGGUCGUUACAGGAAUGCACGAAAAUGGGGUGAUCAGAGAGAUUGUAGACCCAAAUUCCAUCAUCUUCCUUACUUAGGCAUACGCCGCGUCCAAUUUUUGCUCUAGUUCUGUCUAUACUCGCUUCGGCAUCCGUCGAAUGGAGAACCCCUAAGCAGAGGUGUUCGGCACCAGUCUCCGUUCUGGGUCCAUCUGAAACGUGGACGGUCGAUGAGGUUAUGUGAUAAGUUCUAUGAAUUGGUGUCCUUUCUUCCCAGUAUCGUACUCUAGCCCAUGUAGUUAAGUUAGGAUCGUCUGAAAGGAUAACAAAAAUUUUAGGUAUAAAAUAUUUAGAAAUAGUUUAUUUAUUGUAUAAAAAGCGACUGUAUGCCCGACGGCAGAAAGGGAGAAAAACUUAUCACAUCUUAAAUUUUUUCUAAAAAUUACUCCAAGCUAAAUAGAUCGAGUUUGGAUUUAAGAAGUUAAACGGCUUUAAUUACAGGUAGUAAAGUGCAAUACUAAGUGAGAAAUUCAGCUAGCAGUUAGAUGUAGAUUGUUAAAAAGUGUCAAACGUCACAGUUUUCAGGUGGGCGCCCGCGGGCUCACCGUUACAUUUGCGUGAGAAAAUGUCCAUGGAAUCUAUAUAGAAAUGCAUAAAAGAAGGGAAGUAAAGGAAACUUUCCCUUUAACUCUUUGCUUUCUAUUUCGGGACCGAUAUUAGAAUUCUCCAAAGUACGAAAAAUAAACAGACGUUUCAGCAUCGUGUAUAGACAAUAUAAACAAAAUUUGCGCAAUACGUAUCAAUUCCCUAUCAUCUGAUUGACGGCAUAAUGUUUUCUAACACUACAUUUUUCUCGUAACAAAGGAUGACCGAUCGUUGAGCUCAUAUGGAAAGUAUAUCAAAUUUAUCUGUCAUGUUGCAUUGAGGAGAGAAAUAACUGGACAGUAAGACCCUAAAAAUAGCAACGACUAUCUCAGUUUACAAAGAAUAUGAGACAGAGAGGUAUAUUACGCAAGAAUUCAUCACAUGUCAGGAAUAUUUAAUUAUAGUUAUCAGCUCAAAUUAUAAUACAAGAGAAAUUACAUUAUCUUAAAUGAGAUUUGGCAUUUGGGAUAUGGUGACUAAGGAAAUUACAUUUUAUAGCCCUAGUUCGUGUUCAAUUUUUAUAAAUUUUAGACUCUAUAAAUUUAUUAUUCAUUAUAGCCUAGCUGAAUUCUGCAGCGGCACAAUUAGUGUCACUUGUUAAAAAAUUAAAAGCCGAACUAGCGUUUUUAUAUUCAUGUCUCCAGCUGACAAGUAGAACGCUGCGAGUAAAAAACUUAUACAAUUACUGGCGACAGUUGGUGAAUAAAGGCAAUAUUUAAAAAAAUCUGAGUUAUCAAAAA
rnacentral:misc_RNA from 1 species